GGGGAAGGGGGGUUGAGCUGGCGUCCCUCGGCCCCCCUCCAGGGUCCGGUCUGAGGGGUCCUUCCUUCAUUAGGGGCGGGGUGGGGGGGGGGGCCCUCAGCUGCCCCCCUGGAGGCCCUGCAGGGUGGUCUGCAGCCCGCUGCGGGCCCCGUCCACCGGCUCCAGGGCCUUGCUGUUGCUACGGAGACCAGACAACAGUCAGACAACAGUCAGACAACAGUCAUCACAGAUAAUGUAGAAAGAAACAACCCAAGAACAGCCGAGAGGUGCAGAGUGGUUUAACCCCCAGUGAGGUGCAGAGUGGUUUAACCCCCCGUGAG
ensembl:lncRNA